rfam:Drechmeria coniospora strain ARSEF 6962 chromosome 03, whole genome shotgun sequence.
UCCUCCUUGGCUCAGUGGUAAAGCGUGUCACUAGUAAUGACAAGAUCGCUGGUUCGAUUCCGGCAGGAGGAA